AGCUUUGUGCAGUGGCAGUAUCGUAGCCAGUGAGGUUUACCCAAAGCGUAAUUAUUGCUGAUUGAAAACUUUUCCCAAUACCCUGCCAUGACAACUUGAAAUAUAGUCGGCAUUGGCAAUUUUUAGCAGUCUCUACAGUAA
rnacentral:snRNA from 1 species